rnacentral:rRNA from 1 species
AUUGAACGCUGGCGGCAUGCCUUACACAUGCAAGUCGAACGGCAGCACGGGAGCAAUCCUGGUGGCGAGUGGCGAACGGGUGAGUAAUAUAUCGGAACGUGCCCAGUCGUGGGGGAUAACGUAGCGAAAGCUACGCUAAUACCGCAUACGAUCUAUGGAUGAAAGCGGGGGAUCGCAAGACCUCGCGCGAUUGGAGCGGCCGAUAUCAGAUUAGGUAGUUGGUGAGGUAAGGCUCACCAAGCCGACGAUCUGUAGCUGGUCUGAGAGGACGACCAGCCACACUGGAACUGAGACACGGUCCAGACUCCUACGGGAGGCAGCAGUGGGGGAAUAUUGGACAAUGGGCGGCAAAGCCUGAUCCAGCCAUGCCGCGUGUGUGAAGAAGGC